GAACUGACUGAGGGUGCACCCAGUGCCCUUGUCCAGAUCAUCAAUGAAGAGAUGAAACAGAACUGACCCCAACUCUGACCCUUUGGGAAACCACUUGUGAGCUGGAUGUAAUGUCAUUCACCACCACCCUCUGGGCUUUCAACUGGGACAUCCAGUUAAAGCCAGUGUUUUUACAAUUCUUUCAUCUAUGAAGGUGCUAUACCUUGUGACAUUAGAAAGAAAAGGAAAUGGUGUGCACAAUAUACACUACUGGCCUCAUUUAGAAAUUGUUAUUAUUCACAGGUUGAGCAGUAUGGAUCACAGAUCCCUCAGUGCUGAGCUUGUGGCUGUUCUGACUUCAUCAGACAGAAUAAUGCAGAAGUUGCUGAGCAGAAAUUCUGAACUGAGGACAAGCAAGCCCAUCCUCAAGUCUGACAGAAAAACAUAAGAUCAAAAUAAGUGACCCUAACAGAUACUUUUUUCACUUUGCUUGAAACAUCAAAAAAGACUUCUUUUAAGUAGAAUUUGGCUGACAAUAUGAUCAGAAUAACGAAGAUUGGAUAUACUAGCUACGGUCACUUUGUUAAAGGAACAGAGAAGAAAAAAAAUAUUUCUCCCAAUUAACUAUUUAUGAGAUUCCCUGGAAAUGACAAACUAUUAGCUUUGAAUAUGGAGGAUGUCCAUAAGACUUGCCAGGCAGAACUAACAUGCCAGUGGGGUUUCUUUUGAGGUCAGACUCUGGAAAGCUCUGCUCCUGGAGGGAUUUGUGCAUGUAACAUCACAUACUUUGUGUAUUCCCACUGAAGUCAAUAUAGAGGUAUCCCAGUGCCAGAGGACAACAGGAUAAUAAGAGUUUGCACAGGCUGUAAAGAUAAUUAAACAUCUAAACCUCUGAUUGA